UCUAUGCUGGACUGGGAAAUGUGUCUGCUUCUCAAAACACCUACAGUUUGAGCAGGUAUUAGGAGGCAUCUGUGAUCAGUGAACAUAGCAUGAAAGGUUAAAAUAGAUCUGUUGUUAAAUUAACAUUAAAAAAUCAGUAGUUUACAUAUUAUUGCUUAGUACAUAGAACAUUAGACAGCACUUACAAAGGAAUACAGCUUUUUAUUUUAAUAAGUCACAACGAACGUUGCUUUAAGGUGACCCAUAAUUAAUCCACAAUAAAGGGCAGUAAUAAAUCAGUCUGUAUAAUAACCUCUUGCCAACUUUCCGGCAAGCUGUUCUCUGUCUAUCCGUGACAUUGAUCUCACAUAGAAUAACAAGGCUGUGAUGGUUCGGAUCUAUCCUGCACUAUCCUAUACGUGAUUGGAAUUUCAAACAAAUUCCCAAACUACUUUAAAUUCUCAGCAAAAAUGUGAUAUUUCUGUAAUGGUCAUAGGUGCCAACUGUCUCGAUUCAGCUGGAAUAGUCCCAUCAGCAGGACUGAUUUCAGACUUGUAUUCCAAUCGUCUCCAGCUUUCACCACCACUAGACUAGCACCGUGCCUCAUUCACAUGGCAAAACAUUUAACAGCAUUACCAUGGUGGGGAGGUGGGUGGUUUAGGUAGGUAUGAAGGGCUUCAACCCAUGUGAACUAAGCUGCGUUACAUGUCCGCGUACUGUAUGUGGUCACUUUGGUAAAUGGCUCAACCAAGAGCAUGCAAAAUUUACAGGAUUCAUCGUACUACAUUUUUAUGUAGCUACAUAGCCAAAAUCAGUUGUUUCUUAUUUUAUUGGGACAUCUCGAAAACAG